CUGGGUUUGACAUGGAUCGGGAGUGCUCAGAGAUGGGUGUGCCUCUUUUGGGGUCGGUUCACAGGUGGUGCAUGGCUGUCGUCAGCUCGUGUCGUGAGAUGUUGGGUUAAGUCCCGCAACGAGCGCAACCCUUGUUCACUGUUGCCAGCACGUUAUGGUGGGGACUCAGUGGAGACCGCCGGGGUCAACUCGGAGGAAGGUGGGGAUGACGUCAAGUCAUCAUGCCCCUUAUGUCCAGGGCUUCACGCAUGCUACAAUGGCUGGUACAGAGAGUGGCGAGCCUGUGAGGGUGAGCGAAUCUCGGAAAGCCGGUCUCAGUUCGGAUUGGGGUCUGCAACUCGACCUCAUGAAGUCGGAGUCGCUAGUAAUCGCAGAUCAGCAACGCUGCGGUNAAUA
rnacentral:rRNA from 1 species